rnacentral:snRNA from 1 species
AAAUAGAACUUACGUUUGGG